GGAUUCCCCGAGUAGCGGCGAGCGAAACGGGAAGAGCCCAGCGCUGAAUUCCGCGGUCCUCACGGGCCGCCGGGAAAUGUAGCGUUCGGGAGGAGGAUGUCAAUUAUCGCGCGGUUUUCGGCGCCCAGUCCAAGUUCAUCUUGAAAGGGGCCCCGCUUAUCCACAGAGGGUGCCAGGGCCGUAGCGACGGGCGCGGGCCGCGACGUUCCUCUUCCCCAGAGUCGGGUUGCUUGAGAGUGCAGCCCUGACCGGGUGGUAAACUCCAUCUAAGGCUAAAUACGCCCACGAGACCGAUAGCGAACAAGUACCGUGAGGGAAAGUUGAAAARAACUUUGAAGAGAGAGUUCAAGAGUACGUGAAACCGUUCAGGGGUAAACCUGCGGGACUCGAACGAUCGAACGGGGAGAUCACUCAGCGCGUCUUUCGGAGUCCGCGGCGGGCCGCGUCGUUCGUGUGAUGAGCGCGAAACGCACGGUCCGUCGCGCAUCCGAUUCCGAGAGCGCGUGCACUUCUCCCUCAGUACAACACCGCGACCCGUCGGCGUUGCGGCGGUCUACCGCGUCCGGCAGAGAGUCCCGGUGCUGGGCUUCGCGGCCCGGCUCCGGAAUCUGCUCGGCGUCGCGACCGCCGCCCGACGGUAGAGAACGAGGAUCGGAUCCGCGCACAGCGCGUCCGCGAUCGGGAUGCGGCGUCCCGCGUUUCGGGCUCCGGCGCUUCGGCGUCGCAGUCUCGGGCGUGCGAUGGGCGUCGUCGUCUCGGUCGCCGGACCGGAUCCGGCCCGGUCGGCGGUGGUUCCGUUUCGGGCACUCACAGGACCCGUCUUGAAACACGGACCAAGGAGUCUAGCAUGCGCGCGAGUCAUAGGGAAUCAUUAAACCCUGAGGCGCAAUGAAAGUGAAAGGCCUCACGGCCGAAGGGACGAUGGCGGACGGUCCGCCGUCCUGGCCCGCAGUCCCGGGGCGUUCGGAGAAAUGCCACCGUGCGAUUAUCCGGACGCACCGAGAGCGCUCACGCUGGGACCCGAAAGAUGGUGAACUAUGCCUGGUCAGGUCGAAGUCAGGGGAAACCCUGAUGGAGGACCGAAGCGAUUCUGACGUGCAAAUCGAUCGUCGGAACUGGGUAUAGGGGCGAAAGACUAAUCGAACUAUCUAAUAGCUGGUUCCAUCCGAAGUUUCCCUCAGGAUAGCUGGCGCUCGUGAAGCGUUUCUCGUCAUGCGCGAGAAGUUUUUCAGUCUCAUCCGGUAAAGCGAAUGAUUAGAGGCCUUGGGGACGAAACGUCCUCAACCUAUUCUCAAACUUUAAAUGGGUGAGAUCUCCGUCUUGCUCGAACAGUGAAGUCGGAGUUCGGAUGAGAGUGCCAAGUGGGCCAAUUUUGGUAAGCAGAACUGGCGCUGUGGGAUGAACCAAACGUCGAGUUAAGGCGCCAAACGGACGCUCAUCGGAUACCAUAAAAGGCGUUGGUCGCUCAUGACAGUAGGACGGUGGCCAUGGAAGUCGGAAUCCGCCAAGGAGUGUGUAACAACUCACCUACCGAAGCAACCAGCCCUGAAAAUGGAUGGCGCUGUAGCGUCCGGCCUAUACUCGACCGUCGGAGGCAAGCGCGGGGGCGUUGAUUCGUCCCCUUUACGCCCCGACGAGUAGGAUGGUCGCGGCGGUGCGCGCGGAAGGGACGGGCGCGAGCCCGCCUGGAGCCGCCGUCGGCGCAGAUCUUGGUGGUAGUAGCAAAUACUCAAGCGAGGUC
rnacentral:rRNA from 1 species